GAUGAACGCUGGCGGCGUGCCUAAUACAUGCAAGUCGAGCGAACAGACGAGGAGCUUGCUCCUCUGACGAUAGCGGCGGACGGGUGAGUAACACGUGGAUAACCUACCUAUAAGACUGGGAUAACUUCGGGAAACCGGAGCUAAUACCGGAUAAUAUAUUGAACCGCAUGGUUCAAUAGUGAAAGACGGUUUUGCUGUCACUUAUAGAUGGAUCCGCGCCGCAUUAGCUAGUUGGUAAGGUAACGGCUUACCAAGGCGACGAUGCGUAGCCGACCUGAGAGGGUGAUCGGCCACACUGGAACUGAGACACGGUCCAGACUCCUACGGGAGGCAGCAGUAGGGAAUCUUCCGCAAUGGGCGAAAGCUUGACGGAGCAACGCCGCGUGAGUGAUGAAGGUCUUCGGAUCGUAAAACUCUGUUAUUAGGGAAGAACAAAUGUGUAAGUAACUAUGCACGUCUUGACGGUACCUAAUCAGAAAGCCACGGCUAACUACGUG
rnacentral:rRNA from 1 species